rnacentral:piRNA from 1 species
UGUGACCAGAGUUACACAGAAAGGACC